UUCAGAUCAUCUAGAAGCUGGACUGAUUUAAAAUAAUGUUCAAAAUGCAAAGAUGAAUUGAACAAUUUUCGAGGAGCUGAAUCUAAAGAGCAUGAGCAACACUUCGGUGAGCUGGAGCAAGAAAUGAACGAUUCGUACCUUUUUAACCUAAGGAUACAGAUACCAAGGUUCAUCAUGCGACUGCAAUCCUACUUGGCGAUAAAAGUAACUAAAAGCAUGAACUUAUGGGUGGUGCGUUUAGAUGAACUCCAUUGCAUACUUUGUGUUUUGCUUACGGACGACAUGGUAUUUGUUUGAGAACUCUUUCAGUGAAGUGCAAAAAACUUUCAAUGUUCAACACAAAUAUCGCGCCCAGAAUUCUUUAUCAGCAAAUAUAAACAAAACAAAAGCCUUUCGAUCGUCAUCCAAGUGAAUCCCUAUUACAAUGAAUGGAAAAUUUAACGACCUGAUAAUUAUUUUGAACAAAAGGACAAUCAAGCUCUGGAAAUUGUCUUCUGUCUGCUCGGCCUGAAGAUGCUUUUUUCUUCUUAUGCAAUUGUCAAUUGGUAGUCAAGUGGUGAUUAAAUAAUUGUUUUAUGAAGCCAGAGUGAACAAUAAUAGUUUCCAAAAUAUGCUUAACAUCACGUAACAUAGUCAAAAUAUUAAAAUAAAACUAAAUUUAUUUAUGUUGUGUUUAAUGACCAUUAGUUAAUGAUUAUUUGGAGAU
rnacentral:lncRNA from 1 species